AGUGUAGAAUGUCAACAAGUCGUUUGAGUCCUGACCCUGAUUAUUGUAAUUAAUAUCGAGACAUACGAGGGCUGAUCAGGAAGGCAGCUGGGUCACAGUGACCGCAAGCUGUGGCCGUGAGCGGCGUGUGGCGCUUGAGUUGCCGCGAGUCGAUCAAAGGAUGGAAAACUCAAUCCUCGUCACAGCUGAGCUGUUGAUGUACAGUUGUUAGCCUCCACCAUCCCAGGAGAUGGUAAGGGUAGAGACUGUAAGAUGUUGUGUAUGACACACAGUGUGGGUGGUGCUGCAAGAUGCUGCAUGCAGACUCCGACUUGUCGCCUGGCGCCGCGCGGCUGUGUGUAGACCGCCUGCCUGUUGCUGCAACUGACUUCAAACAUCAUUUCUGAGAAAACAGAGGAUGACUCAUGAUGGCAGCAGGCAACACAAGUCUGUGAACAGUGAACAGGUACAGUGACUGUCUGCUACAGUCCUUAGCUGCUGACACGGAGUAAAACUACAAUCAUAGAAUAUCAGGAAGCUGCUGAAGGUGGUCACUUUGAGGAAAUCGAAGUUCGUCAGUCAUUGAUUGGCAGUGUGUGCCACACGGUGUGACAUGUCAUAGACAGCGACACCACAGCGGCCUGAGGCUGACAGUCAGACGUCAAUGCCCUUGGCUCAGGCGAGACAACUGUCAACCAUGUCUGAUCCUCCGCCGUCUGCUUCACAAGAGGUGAGGCGACUAGGAUGAUAAUAGAAAUUAAAAAUACAGCUAGCAGUAAUAUCAUCAAAGGUACAAGCAAAAGCAACACCACUUCAGACACACGUAGAAAUAAUGUCAUUGAAAUACCUGUAGAAACAAUACCUUCAAGUAAAGGGCAACAGCUGCAGUUAUUCCGUAACUGAUCGUAUGACACCUGCGUGACAAUGUCUUUAAACUACAAAUAGUCUGUGGACAUCGGUAGGAUAAAAAUUAUUGAUUUGACUGAUUUGUGAUGUCAGGUGUUUAGUAUGAAUGAAACAAAAAAAUUAAGUUAAUAAUGGAAAUACUAGCAUCUAGAUUUUAGUGUUGAUAAGAAGAGAACCAUGUCAUCACAGG